rnacentral:rRNA from 1 species
UGGCUCAGGACGAACGCUGGCGGCGUGCCUAACACAUGCAAGUCGAGCGAGGAGAUUCCUCGGGAUGAUCCUAGCGGCGACGGGUGAGUAACACGUGGGCAACCUGCCUCAUAGAGAGGAAUAGCCUUCCGAAAGGGAGAUUAAUACCUCAUAACAUUGCAGUUUCGCAUGGAACAGCAAUUAAAGGAGUAAUCCGCUAUGAGAUGGGCCCGCGGCGCAUUAGCUAGUUGGUGAGGUAACGGCUCACCAAGGCGACGAUGCGUAGCCGACCUGAGAGGGUGAUCGGCCACAUUGGGACUGAGACACGGCCCAGACUCCUACGGGAGGCAGCAGUGGGGAAUAUUGCACAAUGGGGGAAACCCUGAUGCCAGCAACGCCGCGUGAGUGAUGACGGCCUUCGGGUUGUAAAGCUCUGUCUUCAGGGACGAUAAUGACGGUACCUGAGGAGGAAGCCACGGCUAACUACGUGCCAGCCGCCGC